rnacentral:rRNA from 1 species
UAGGGAAUCUUGGACAAUAGGCGAAAGCCUGAUCCAGCAAUGCCGCGUGCACGAUGAAGGUCUUCGGAUUGUAAAGUGCUUUUAGAAGGGAUGAGUAAGGACAGUACCUUCUGAAUAAGCCUCGGCGAACUACGUGCCAGCAGCCGCGGUAAGACGUAGGAGGCAAGCGUUAUCCGGAUUUAUUGGGCGUAAAGCGCGUGCAGGCGGUUUGGUAAGUUGGAUGUGAAAUCUCUUGGCUUAACCGGGAGAGGUCGUUCAAAACUGCCAGACUAGAGAGUGGUAGAGGAAGGUGGAAUUCCGGGUGUAGUGGUGGAAUGCGCAGAUAUCCGGAGGAACACCAGUGGCGAAAGCGGCCUCCUGGACCAUUCCUGACACUCAGACGCGAAAGCUAGGGUAGCAAACGG